rnacentral:pre_miRNA from 1 species
AAUAAAUUCAUUUUUUAUUUUUAGAUACAAUAUUUUGACUCUGUCUUAUUUGAAAUUUUUUUAUGAUUAAUAUUUUUAUUAUUACUAGAUGAUAGAAUAUGAGUAGUACUUUAUGCGUGACUAAUUUUUUUAAGUUUUUGAAUAAAUUUUUUAAAUAAGACGAAUGUUAAAACAUUUGACACAGAAAUCGAGAAACGAUCUUAGU